rnacentral:rRNA from 1 species
UUUAUGGAGAGUUUGAUCCUGGCUCAGGAUGAACGCUGGCGGCGUGCCUAAUACAUGCAAGUCGAGCGAACGGACGAGAAGCUUGCUUCUCUGAUGUUAGCGGCGGACGGGUGAGUAACACGUGGAUAACCUACCUAUAAGACUGGGAUAACUUCGGGAAACCGNNNNNNNNNNNNNNNNAUAUUUUGAACCGCAUGGUUCAAAAGUGAAAGACGGUCUUGCUGUCACUUAUAGAUGGAUCCGCGCUGCAUUAGCUAGUUGGUAAGGUAACGGCUUACCAAGGCAACGAUGCAUAGCCGACCUGAGAGGGUGAUCGGCCACACUGGAACUGAGACACGGUCCAGACUCCUACGGGAGGCAGCAGUAGGGAAUCUUCCGCAAUGGGCGAAAGCCUGACGGAGCAACGCCGCGUGAGUGAUGAAGGUCUUCGGAUCGUAAAACUCUGUUAUUAGGGAAGAACAUAUGUGUAAGUAACUGUGCACAUCUUGACGGUACCUAAUCAGAAAGCCACGGCUAACUACGUGCCAGCAGCCGCGGUAAUACGUAGGUGGCAAGCGUUAUCCGGAAUUAUUGGGCGUAAAGCGCGCGUAGGCGGUUUUUUAAGUCUGAUGUGAAAGCCCACGGCUCAACCGUGGAGGGUCAUUGGAAACUGGAAAACUUGAGUGCAGAAGAGGAAAGUGGAAUUCCAUGUGUAGCGGUGAAAUGCGCAGAGAUAUGGAGGAACACCAGUGGCGAAGGCGACUUUCUGGUCUGUAACUGACGCUGAUGUGCGAAAGCGUGGGGAUCAAACAGGAUUAGAUACCCUGGUAGUCCACGCCGUAAACGAUGAGUGCUAAGUGUUAGGGGGUUUCCGCCCCUUAGUGCUGCAGCUAACGCAUUAAGCACUCCGCCUGGGGAGUACGACCGCAAGGUUGAAACUCAAAGGAAUUGACGGGGACCCGCACAAGCGGUGGAGCAUGUGGUUUAAUUCGAAGCAACGCGAAGAACCUUACCAAAUCUUGACAUCCUUUGACAACUCUAGAGAUAGAGCCUUCCCCUUCGGGGGACAAAGUGACAGGUGGUGCAUGGUUGUCGUCAGCUCGUGUCGUGAGAUGUUGGGUUAAGUCCCGCAACGAGCGCAACCCUUAAGCUUAGUUGCCAUCAUUAAGUUGGGCACUCUAAGUUGACUGCCGGUGACAAACCGGAGGAAGGUGGGGAUGACGUCAAAUCAUCAUGCCCCUUAUGAUUUGGGCUACACACGUGCUACAAUGGACAAUACAAAGGGCAGCGAAACCGCGAGGUCAAGCAAAUCCCAUAAAGUUGUUCUCAGUUCGGAUUGUAGUCUGCAACUCGACUACAUGAAGCUGGAAUCGCUAGUAAUCGUAGAUCAGCAUGCUACGGUGAAUACGUUCCCGGGUCUUGUACACACCGCCCGUCACACCACGAGAGUUUGUAACACCCGAAGCCGGUGGAGUAACCUUUUAGGAGCUAGCCGUCGAAGGUGGGACAAAUGAUUGGGGUGAAGUCGUAACAAGGUAGCCGUAUCGGAAGGUGCGGCUGGAUCACCUCCUUUCUAAGGA